GGGAGGCUUUUACUGGAAAUGGUCUCUGUUGUUCCCGAUGGGAUUGUAUGCUUUUUCGUUAGUUACUCAUACAUGGAUGAAAUUGUCAACAGUUGGAAUGAAAGUGGGAUUUUGAAGGAAAUAAUGCAACAUGCUUGUCUUUAUUGAGACACAGGAUGUGGUUGAAACUACACUGGCUCUGGACAAUUAUCGCAGGGCUUGUGAUUGUGGGAGGAGGUGCUGUCUUUUUCUCUGUUGCCAGGGGUAAGGUAGCUGAAGGAAUUGAUUUUGAUCGACAUUAUGGUAGAUUAGUGAUCAUGUUUGGUAUUCCCUUCCAAUAUACCCUGAGCAAAAUAUUGCUAGCACGGUUGGGUAUCUUAUUGAUA